AUGUCUUCCUCAAGCUCCCGCGCCACCUCGCGGAUGCAGAGCCGGGCGCGUGUGGACAUGCCUGUCUUCGUCUGUCCGCGGUGCCGGGCGGGCGUUGAUCGGAGGGUUUCUCACACACCGAGGAACCAGAAUCGUCCGUUCUACGUGUGCAGCAAGAACGGGGUGACAUGCUUCUUUCUUUGGGUCAAUGCUCUGGCCAAGACUCCGAUGAAUGAACUGCAAGAAGAGCAUGAAGAAUGGUUGCGCAUGCUGCCACGAACGGCAGUGGCCGCAGCACGAGCUCCGGAAGAAGAGAUGGAGGGCGAAGCACGCACUGACAGAGAGCUAGCUGUUGAGCUUAGGAUGUUGAAGAAGAAGGUUAGGAAGCUUGACGAUCAAGCACUACCAAUACCCAUUUGCAAAUACUUUUGGGCAUUUGUAGGUAUG
rnacentral:rRNA from 1 species